rnacentral:rRNA from 1 species
AUGAACGCUGGCGGCGUGCCUAAUACCUGCAAGUCGAGCGAACAGAUGAGGAGCUUGCUCCUCUGACGUUAGCGGCGGACGGGUGAGUAACACGUGGAUAACCUACCUAUAAGACUGGGAUAACUUCGGGAAACCGGAGCUAAUACCGGAUAAUAUAUUGAACCGCAUGGUUCAAUAGUGAAAGACGGUUUUGCUGUCACUUAUAGAUGGAUCCGCGCCGCAUUAGCUAGUUGGUAAGGUAACGGCUUACCAAGGCAACGAUGCGUAGCCGACCUGAGAGGGUGAUCGACCACACUGGAACUGAGACACGGUCCAGACUCCUACGGGAGGCAGCAGUAGGGAAUCUUCCGCAAUGGGCGAAAGCCUGACGGAGCAACGCCGCGUGAGUGAUGAAGGUCUUCGGAUCGUAAAACUCUGUUAUUAGGGAAGAACAAAUGUGUAAGUAACUAUGCACGUCUUGACGGUACCUAAUCAGAAAGCCACGGCUAACUACGUG